UGCUUUAUUUGGUGACAAAUCUCACUUAUGGGGGCAAAUUAGGUCCAAAGUAACCAUUUGUCAGACAAUUAGAUGGUAUUAGUUACAUAAUUGGUACCUUUUGUGCCAUUCAUUGGCUGUCUCCAUUAUUUUAUAUUAUUCAACCCAUAAACCGGUUGCAUAUGGACGAGAAAAAGUAGAAAAGUUUCCUCUGCAAAACAGCAAUAGCAGUCAUGGUCUUCCCAAUGAAUACACUGUUUGCAGGUAUCAUUCUUUCUUUCCUUCUCUUUCUUUCUCGUCCUUUCCUUCACUUUCUCUCUUCUUCCUCCUUCUCCCUCUUCUUCUUCCUUCUUCCUACAGAUGCAAUUUGUAUUCUUUCCUGACACGGUUUGUUCUGUUGAGUGCUGAGGACGAUGAUGAACACGAUGAUGGUGAUGUUGAUGUUGUUGGGUUCGUGAUGAACGAUGUUGAACGAUUUUAGAUGAAUGAGUUGAGUUGGUUGAAGAUCUAUGAAGAUGAUGACGAAAGCUACGAAUCUGAAUCUCGGAUCCGACCCUUCCACGGGAUUAGGGUUUCAGGAGAUCUCGGUCGCAAGUUCUUUUCCAAUAUGAUUGGUUAGCAGAAUUUUGUGGGAAGUGGCGGUUUGAGUCGGUGAUGCAGCCUGUUUCUUCGGGAACCAGUUUGUUAUUCGUUUCGGUUGAGCUUUAUGCAGGGCUGCAGUUCUCAUAAGACCAUUACUUGAACAU